rnacentral:lncRNA from 1 species
UGCUAAUCAAGAGAGGAUCAAACUCAUCUAACCCAGAGAAUAAAAUGAUCAUCUAGCCACCUAGAGAGCGAUAUACCCAAGCAUACAAAACCUCUAACAACACUAUCGGGAUGCUAGAUCAGUAGUUGUGACUAUAGAUAAACCUUAAAAAAAUUAGUAAAACUAGACCCAAUGGUCCUCACAUCCAAUCACACCUAGUCGGAAUGUGACCUCGACG